rnacentral:rRNA from 1 species
GCUUACGGCCCUAUCACGUUGAGAGCACCGGUUCUCGUCUGACCAGCGAAGUUAAGCAACGUCAAGUCUAGUGAGUACUUAGAUGGGUGACCAAAGCCUUAUGAGUGGAUUUGAUAGACGGAAACU